rnacentral:rRNA from 1 species
AUCGAACGCUGGCGGCAGGCUUAACACAUGCAAGUCGAGCGAGCGGCGGACGGGUGAGUAAUGUCUGGGAAACUGCCUGAUGGAGGGGGUUAACUACUGGAAACGGUAGCUAAUACCGCAUACCAUCGGAUGUGCCCAUGUGGGAUUAGCUAGUAGGUGGGGUAAAGGCUCACCUAGGCGACGAUCCCUAGCUGGUCUGAGAGGAUGACCAGCCACACUGGAACUGCGCCACGGGCCAGACUCCUACGCGAGGCAGCAGUGGCGAAUAUUGCACAAUGGGCGCAAGCCUGAUGCAGCCAUGCCGAGUGUAUGAAGGAGGCCUUCGGGUUGUAAAGUACUUUCAGCGGGGAGGCGUUACCCGCAGAAGAAGCACCGGCUAACUCCGUGCCAGCAGCCGCGGUAAUUC